rnacentral:rRNA from 1 species
UACGUAGGGUGCAAGCGUUAAUCGGAAUUACUGGGCGUAAAGCGUGCGCAGGCGGUUAUGCAAGACAGAUGUGAAAUCCCUCAGCUUAACUGGGGAACUGCGUCUGAUACUGGAUGGCUUGGAUUCGGGAGAGGAAUGCGGAAUUCCAGGUGUAGCGGUGAAAUGCGUAGAUAUCUGGAGGAACACCGGUGGCGAAGGCGGCAUUCUGGACCGACAUUGACGCUGAGGAGCGAAAGCCAGGGGAGCAAACGGG